ensembl:lncRNA novel transcript
AGAGCUGUCCCUCUCUCGGCUUGCACUAAGGAGGAGGUCACGUGAGCACACAGUGAGAAGGCGGAGGACCAUCUGCAAGCAGGAAGAGAGCCCUCGCUAGAACCCCCCACGGUGGCAUCUGAUAGUGGACUUCUAGCUUCCAGAACUGAACUCAUAAAUGUCACAUCAGGCUGCCUCUUGGUGAAUUUUUAAUCAACGGGGAGAAUUUCAGCUACAAAUAGACCAAGAAUCAAGAGGCCCACUAUUGAUCGGUCAAAGUGGCACUUAUGAACCUGAGGUUGAAGCAGUUUGGAUAAAAGGAUUCUGGGCUUUCGAUGGCCCCAGAGACAUCUUUUUCCAUCAAGUCCAGGCUUGCUGAUCGGUACAGCUGAGAACAUGUUGAAUUUGAUGUGCCUGUGGAUAUUUGAGUCUGGAACAUUGAAGACAAGUUUGGUCUGGAGAUGUAGACUGGGGAUAUCUCAGCACACAGAUGAUAACUGAAAUGAUGGAGCGGAUGAUAUAAACUGGAGAGAGUCUGGUGUGGGAAGAGUCUUCCCUGAGGUGGCCGAAAGAUGUAAUUCUUACUCCAAAGACUGAAAUAGAGACAAGAGAAGCUGAAGUUACAGGGUUUUGUCAUUGGGAAGACAGUAGAGUGUGUCAUAUCCCAAGAGUGAAGCAAGGACAAACCAAAGAACAACUGGGAAGAUCUGGGAGAAAAAGGGAGAGGAGAGCCUGACGUUUCAAGAACUCAAGGUUCAGUACUAGGUCUUAGAGGAAGACUUCAUUUUAGCUUUGAUGCUCUCCGCUAGGCACAGAGAAACUUAAGCAGAAUGACAAGACCUGCUGUUUGAGUAACUCACGUUCUGACCAGAGAGACAGACAUGUCAGCAAGAGGUUACAAUACAGUGUGCUCAGAUUCUCCGGGACUUGGAGCACUUGUUCCAGAAAGGAAGGCCAGGGAAGUCUUCCAGGAGUAGAUGGCGCCUCUGCUGACCUGAAGGGUGAGGAAAAAGUGUCCAGUUGCAGAAGAAAUGAUGCAACUGAGUCACAGAGAAGUUAAGUAAUCUGCCUGCCGACACUCGGGUCGAUGCCGCCUCAUUCCAUCACUCGGGCAAUGGAGCCAAAGGCCACGUUCACAACCACUAGGCUGUCCCAGCCCCUUGGUAUGAUUUGUCCCUUCCUAAGCUUCAAAGAUAGCCAGGCAGGAGUUAUUUUAUAGAAUGGAAGUAAUUUCUACGGGGCCAAGCAAUAAUAAGGAAAUUGGAAGUCAAGGACUAUCUUCCGAAUGGAGAAGAAGCUCCAUCAACCACAGAAGGAAAUUAUGAUCACUCCUGCCAUCCUGCUCCUUUGUGUAUCCAGGAUGAAGGGGAGAAUUGGAGUCUUGCACAAUGAAAGGACAACAUUGCUGCCAAAACAAUCCAUCGUGACUGUAGACAUAUUUUCCACCCUCAUCCUGCAGGUUUUCUGCCAGUUGUUGGCCCCUCACCAAUUUUGCUCCUGGGCAGUCUGAGGUGGAACAUAAUUUUGUAUAAAACAAAUUAUGCUCAACCUCACUUAUAAUCAGGGAAAUGUGAGUCAAAACCACAAUAAAAUAUCACCUCAUGCUG